AGAACUGUUUUCUUAGACAAAGUAUAAGGAGGCCGCAGAGCUUGCCGCGGAAUCUCCAAUGGGAAUACUCCGUACUCCUGAUACUGUUGCCAAAUUUCAGAGCGUUCCUGUGCAAGCUGGGCAAACCCCACCGUUAUUGCAGUAUUUUCGAACUCUUUUAACUAGAGGAAAACUCAAUGCUUAUGAAUCAUUGGAACUGUCACGUUUAGUUGUAAUUUCUUUUGGAGAAUUGGCUAGCAGAGGACAAGCUAGAAUCAUAACGACAUACAAUUGUUCAAAUUCUAUCAUUUUGAACAGCAUUAUUAUCUUGGCCGAAAACUAUUACUGUGUCAAUUUUGGUAUUAUGAUUUUUACUAACUUGGUCAACGGCUCUUACUGGACAUUUAUCCUAUUAUAAUUUUUGAAUUGUCACAGGUUGGAUAUCAACCUGAUUAUUUGUUCCUUCUCCAAACGAUUUUGCCGGCGGAUCCCCAGCUACAUGCAUCUAUCUUGAAAGUUUGAGGCAUUUUAUCGUUACAACGGUUCUGUAACUAGUGUACUUUGCUCUUCUUAUGAGUUGAGCUAAAUUGUCUGACAUUGAAACAACUUCAACUAUCUUGAUGGCAGGGGGCUGUUAAUUUUGCUCUAAUGAUGUCUCAAAUGGAGGGAGGUUGUCCCAUUGACUACAAUACCAUCACCGAUCUGUUCCUUCAGAGGAACUUGAUCCGUGAGGCAACAGCCUUUUUGUUGGAUGUGCUGAAGCCGAAUCUACCUGAGCAUGGUUUCCCAGGAGAGAUUUGGCAAGUUGUGCAGAGAUGGAGAUGGAAAAGGAGAAGACAGCAGCGGCGACAGAGAAAUAUGAGCAAAAUAUUGCAGAGCGCGGUGCAACUGUGUCAUGAACCUAACAAAGACGAAACGGGGAAGACUGAAGAGAGACAACCGGAACGGAAGGGGAGUAGAUUAGGCGACCUCAAUUUGCGGAAAGGAGUUAAAAAACAAACAAUUAAUCUGUGGCCGCACGAUCUCAUCCAACGGACAAAUGAAGGCGUCCGGCUG